CAUGUCUCUUGCUAGCUGCUUGGCCAAGCAACGCCGUCGGCUUUUCAAGUUUCAUGAUCGCUGUUAUCCUCUAAGUUCUGCAGUGCUCUCCUUCAUUGUCGUUCACUUCUAUAUCUGUGUGUCUGCUUAUCCAUCCAUGCAUCUCCAACAAAACUAGCCAGCGGCCGCAAGUCAGGUCAUGCUUGCCUGCAAGCCGAGCUGCCUGUUUACUAAUCUUCCAUGUGGAUGAUGGUGAGCAGUACUUUAGUGAUCAAGAUCAGAGCUUUGGCAACAACUAAGACCAGCAGAACCAAAACGAUCAGCAAUAGCA